rnacentral:rRNA from 1 species
UGGGGAAUAUUGGACAAUGGGCGCAAGCCUGAUCCAGCAAUGCCGCGUGUGUGAAGAAGGUCUUCGGAUUGUAAAGCACUUUCGGCGGGGACGAUGAUGACGGUACCCGCAGAAGAAGCCCCGGCUAACUUCGUGCCAGCAGCCGCGGUAAUACGAAGGGGGCUAGCGUUGCUCGGAAUGACUGGGCGUAAAGGGCGCGUAGGCGGUUUGUACAGUCAGGUGUGAAAUUCCCGGGCUCAACCUGGGGGCUGCACUUGAUACGUAUGGACUGGAGUGGGGAAGAGGGUCGUGGAAUUCCCAGUGUAGAGGUGAAAUUCGUAGAUAUUGGGAAGAACACCGGUGGCGAAGGCGGCGACCUGGUCCUUGACUGACGCUGAGGCGCGAAAGCGUGGGGAGCAAACA